ACGAACGCUGGCGGCGUGGAUAAGACAUGCCAGUCGAGCGGGAUUCUUGCUGUCGCAAGACAGGAAGAAGUCUAGCGGCGAACGGGUGCGUAACACGUGGACGAUCUGUCUUAAAGUGGGGGAUAGCUCGGCGAAAGCCGAAUUAAUACCGCAUGUGAUCAGAGGCGACAUCGCUUCGAAAUCAAAUGUGGCGCAAGCUACCGCUUUUAGAGGGGCCCGCGGCCUAUCAGCUUGUUGGUGAGGUAACGGCUCACCAAGGCUAUGACGGGUAGCUGGUCUGAGAGGACGACCAGUCACACUGGGACUGAGACACGGCCCAGACACCUACGGGUGGCAGCAGUCGAGAAUUUCUGACAAUGGGGGAAACCCUGAUCGAGCGACGCCGCGUGCAGGAUGAAGGUCUUCGGGUUGUAAACUCCUGUCAUUUGGGAACAAGGCGUACGUAUUAACUGUACGUACGUUGAUAGUACCAGAAGAGGAAGGGACGGCUAACUCUGUGCCAGCAGCCGCGGUAAUACAGAGGUCCCAAGCGUUGUUCGGAUUCAUUGGGCGUAAAGGGUGUGUAGGUGGCGCCGUAAGUCGGGUGUGAAAUUUCGGAGCUUAACUCCGAAACUGCAUUCGAUACUGCGGUGCUUGAGGACUGGAGAGGAGACUGGAAUUUACGGUGUAGCAGUGAAAUGCGUAGAUAUCGUAAGGAAGACCAGUGGCGAAGGCGGGUCUCUGGACAGUUCCUGACACUGAGACACGAAGGCCAGGGGAGCAAACGGGAUUAGAUACCCCGGUAGUCCUGGCAGUAAACGGUGCACGUUUGCUCUGGGAGGAUUCGACCCCUUCUGCGCCGGAGCUAACGCGUUAAACGUGCCGCCUGGGGAGUACGGUCGCAAGUGUGAAACUCAAAGGAAUUGACGGGGGCCCGCACAAGCGGUGGAGUAUGUGGUUUAAUUCGAUGCAACGCGAAGAACCUUACCAAGGCUUGACAUGGGAAAGACUGGACGAGAGAUCGUCCUUCUCCAGCAAUGGAGCUUUCCACACAGGUGCUGCAUGGCUGUCGUCAGCUCGUGUCGUGAGAUGAUGGGUUAAGUCCCGCAACGAGCGCAGCCCUCGUUUCUAGUUGCCAUCAUUUAGUUGGGCCCUCUAGAGAGACUGCCGCGAAUAACACGGAGGAAGGUGGGGACGACGUCAAGUCAUCAUGGCCCUUACGUCUUGGGCUACACACGUGCUACAAUGGGCGUUACAAAGGGUCGCAAGAGCGCAAGCUGGAGCCAAUCCCCAAAGGCGCCCUCAGUUCAGAUUGAGGUCUGCAACUCGACCUCAUGAAGGUGGAUAGCUAGAAUCGCGGAUCAGACGCCGCGGUGAUACGUCCCGGGCCUUGUACACACCGCCCGUCAAGCCACGAAAGGAGAGAGCGCUCUAAGUCGCUUCGGUAACCCGCAAGGGA
rnacentral:rRNA from 1 species